rnacentral:rRNA from 1 species
UACGUAGGGUGCGAGCGUUGUCCGGAAUUACUGGGCGUAAAGAGCUCGUAGGUGGUUUGUCGCGUUGUUCGUGAAAACCGGGGGCUUAACUCUCGGCGUGCAGGCGAUACGGGCAGACUUGAGUACUGCAGGGGAGACUGGAAUUCCUGGUGUAGCGGUGGAAUGCGCAGAUAUCAGGAGGAACACCGGUGGCGAAGGCGAAUCUCUGGGCCAGUACUGACACUGAGGAGCGAAAGCGUGGGUAGCAAACAGG